GGGCUGUGUUAAUCAUAGCUCUCCACCGAUGUUUCAGUAGUAUUAUCCCUUAGUGAGUGAGACUGGGGGCAAUUAAUCGUGUUAGUCUUUAAAUGGUGUCCUAAUUAUGUGUAUUUGUUCCAACAAAGUUGUCUAGAUUACUUUAUUGUGUAGUGUAAAGCUUAUGAAACCAUCAGCAACUAGUGAGUUGCUAACAUGCAUAUGCAUUUGUCACUAUACAGGUGGCACUCGGCUGUACCACUGCAGUGCUGCAGAAAUUGCCAGCACCAGCGGCUUUGCAACAGCUGUUUCACAGCAUGUCGGAGACAAUGCCUACGAAAUUAUUGGCCCUGAUGACGAGACCCCUCAAGGGGCAAACGACAUCUCUGUUGUAGAAGUGAGCCCGAUACCACCUGAAGUUACCAUGACAGGUGGCACGGCAGCAAUAGAUACAGAGACGGCCAUGUCUACUGCAGCUGCAACAGUGUACGAGGCAAGCAGCAGUGUGUCAGCAUCAGCAGCAGUGUCAGAAGGAACUGCACGAGGCCUGGUAGAGCAACAUGUGUGCUAUCACUGACUUUUUUUGUAGUGCACACAACUCAUUUGCUCAACAUACAAAAGCUUUUCACCACGACUGUGAGCCAGUGUUCUUGUGCAGCAAGUUGUAGCACAGUACAAGCAUCACUUUAAGAUAUGCAAACAUAUUACAGUUGUUGCCUCCCCAGCCAGCCCACAUAGCGACAACAAUGUGAAACACAUGGUGGGACACACCUCUUCCCCAUUAGAAGAUAGUAGAGACUGUCAGUGUUGUUGCUAGAUUAACUGUUCUUUGUAGGCAACUAGAACGACAACACAGGUGUCAUAAGAUUGUUGUUGAUGUUGUUGAAGAGGUAAAAAAGAAGUUUGAUGUAGCUGAAGUGCCAACUGAUAUUGAGCAAAUCAAAACCAACCACCUGAGAAAGCAACACUAUCGAAAUUUGGGUAUCUAUGUGCCGCCAACUCUGGUAAGGAUGGCAUAGGACAGAAGUGAUGAAAAUCACACAGACACUGCUGUUGCAUCACUGGUCACAGUGAGCAGCGACUUGUAGGGCAAGAGAGUCAACUGAAACGAACAUUAUGGCAUAGUGUCAUGCUCCCGUGUGACCACUUUCCAUGUUAUUUUGCAUGAUACAGCUCAACCUCCAGAAACAAGACUGCAACUUGUCUGUAAAAAGCUUUCACAAAAAAUUAUUCAUAACACUAUUAACACAGCAGUAUCUUCUUUUUUUGUGGGUUCGAGGUUCCCGGGUGUCCAUUAAUGCAAAAAUUGCGGAAAAAAAGAACAUG
rnacentral:lncRNA from 1 species